UCUUCUUUAUAAAUUACCCAGCCUCAGGUAUUCCUUUAUAGCAAUGCAAAAUGGACUAACACAGCUGUGCAUUAGACUUACCUGCGGAGCUUAGGCCUGGGUCCCAUCCAAGGGCAUUGUGAUUUGAUUGAUAUAGUUGUAGACUGAACAUCGAGAUUUUCAAAAGCUCUCUUGGGCAUUCCAAUAUGCUUGCAGAGUUGAGAAGCUUGAAACAGGCAGCCUAAAUUGGCCACACAGGGUAAAUUAGUGCUCCUUGUUUCAAUCCGUUGGAUAGAAAUGAAAGGACUGAACCAGGAAGAUUGGCAUGUCUUGCUUUCAAAUCAGCACUUUCAAAAAUCUGUCCAUCGUUAGUGUUUGACCACAUGGCAUAUUUAUACAUUAGAUUGCUCACCUUCAAAAAAAAAAGUGACUGUUCUCAAAAUCCAAUUUAACUCAGCUGGUCCGAUCCAGGUAACCAGAUUUAGAGUGCUUUUCAUGACUUCAGUCACAAGCUCAUUUGAGCUGUUGUAAAAAUGGAAACGACUUUUUCUAUCUUAAGGAUGGAGUGAAGGAGAGGAUUCUGAAGCUGCAGAAGUGACAAGGGGUGGUCUCAGUAGAAAUGACAGCAGUUGCUACUGUGCCUUGAACCUUGGCCACAGUCCCAGCAUUGUGCCACAUGCUUAAUAUAAAAUUCCAAAGCUCUUGAGCUGCAUGAAGUCACUGGAACACAGUAGAGCUUCUGAACCUGUAGCUGGAGAUGAGUAUCACCAGCCAACAUCCUUGGCAGAGCUGUGAGCCAACAGCCAGCCCCAGCCUGCCAGCCGUGUGAGCAAGCAGUCUUGGAAGGUGAUUCUACAGCCCCAGCUGAAACACUCCAACUGAUGCCAUGUGAGCCGAGAAGAGCAGCCAAACUGAGCCCUUCUCAAAUCCCUGAUCCUCCAAAUGUAGGCAAAAUAAAUUGCUGGUUUUAAGCCACUAA
rnacentral:lncRNA from 1 species